GUGCCAGCAGCCGCGGUAAUACCGGCAGCCCGAGUGAUGGCCGAUCUUAUUGGGCCUAAAGCGUCCGUAGCCAGCCGAACAAGUCCGUUGGGUAAUCCACCCGCCUAACGGGUGGGCGUCCAGCGGAAACUGUCCGGCUUGGGGCCGAACGACCCGAGGGGUACGUCCGGGGUAGGAGUGAAAUCCUGUAAUCCUGGACGGACCGCCGGUGGCGAAAGCACUUCGAGAAGACGGAUCCGACAGUGAGGGACGAAAGCCAGGGUCUCCAACCGGAUUAGAUACCCUGGUAGUCC
rnacentral:rRNA from 1 species